UACGGAGGGUGCAAGCGUUAUCCGGAUUCACUGGGUUUAAAGGGUGCGUAGGCGGCGCGGAAAGUUGGGUGUGAAAUCCCUCGGCUCAACCGAGGAACUGCGCCCAAAACUGCCGUGCUUGAGGGAGAUAGAGGUGAGCGGAACUUAGGGUGGAGCGGUGAAAUGCGUUGAUAUCAGGAGGAACACCCAUGGCGAAGGCAGCAAACUGGUCAUCAACUGACGCUGAGGCGCGAAAGCGUGGGUAGCAAACAGG
rnacentral:rRNA from 1 species